UCCUACUAACAAUUUAUAUGACACAUGCACCUACUAAAAAAAUUAAAAUUGCAAAUGGCCUAAAACCUUCUUGGCCGUGAGGUGCUGCUGUUCCCAGAUUCAACAAUCAUGAAGCCGUUAUGUGCUGUGACAAUUAAAAGGAAAUCACCAAUUUUAAAAGCAAAAUGGAAUGCAAAAGUGUGCCUCUUCAUUCUCAAAAGUGCAGCAUUUUCUCCACAAAGUAAAGGCAUUAAGCCCGUGACAGCUUUGUUUUCCCAAAGAAAGUUAGCACCUCAUUCUCCAUUAAAAGUAAACGUGUCUCGGCUUUUAUCUCCCAGCUGGAAUCUCCGAAUGUGUACCCUCUCCCAAGACGUGACACUUCCAUCUCAAUCUCUCAACUGUUCCAUUUCUAUCCACGGGAAUCAGCUCCUAUCUUCAAUGCUUUGUGACCGUGCUGCUGACUAAGUAUAUCAACACUACUGUACCAACUCUCACAUUCAUUUAUUACCCUUAAUUCCAAAAGGAAAAAGAAGUGCUUCCAUUCAAAUAAAAUUCAAACGGUGCAAAAUACACUCUCCCGUUCUUACAUCCCAAGAAACUUUCCAAGCUAAAAAGCUAAACAAGUGUGUCGGCUAAUAAAGUUUUGACCGUGUGCAAUGAGAAAAUCGAUGCUUCUUCAUUCAACGAAAGAUCACUUCAAAAGCUAUAAAAAACAAGACGUUCAAGAGCAAGCACCCAGGAGAGUGGCGGCUGCUCUCCAAAUCACCGUAUCCUCCCCCAAUCUCUAAUAUGUUCCAGCCCCUUUGCAUCAAUAUUCCAAAGCCAAAAUCUACAGAGAAAAAUAAGUCACGGCUCCUCCAUUCUUUUCGGCAAAACCGUCAAAGCCAAUGUUCCAAGUCC
rnacentral:lncRNA from 1 species